UACAUGGGGUGCAAACGUUGCUCGGAAUCAUUGGGCGUAAAGCGCGCGUAGGCGGUUACUUAAGUCGAAUGUGAAAGCCCUCGGCUUAACCGAGGAAGUGCAUCCGAAACUGAGUAGCUAGAGUACGAAAGAGGGUCGCGGAAUUCCCGGUGUAGAGGUGAAAUUCGUAGAUAUUCGGAAGAACACCAGUGGCGAAGGCGGCUCACUGGACCGGUAUCGACGCUGAGGUGCGAAAGCGUGGGGAGCAAACAGG
rnacentral:rRNA from 1 species